rnacentral:rRNA from 1 species
UAAGACGAACUGCCCAAACGUUGUUCGGAAUCACUGGGCUUAAAGGGCGCGUAGGCGGCAAAUCAAGUCAGGGGUGAAAUCCGGCAGCUUAACUGUCGAAGUGCCUUUGAUACUGAUUUGCUCGAGGGAGGUAGGGGUGUGUGGAACUUCUGGUGGAGCGGUGAAAUGCGUUGAUAUCAGAAGGAACGCCGGUGGCGAAAGCGACGCACUGGACCUCUUCUGACGCUGAGGCGCGAAAGCUAGGGGAGCAAACGGGAUUAGAUACCCCGGUAGUCCUAGCCCUAAACGAUGGGUACUAGAUUGUAGACUAAUCAUGGGUUUACAGUCGAAGCAAAAGUUAUAAGUACCCCGCCUGGGGAGUAUGGUCGCAAGGCUG